rnacentral:rRNA from 1 species
UACAGAGGGUGCGGAGCGUUGAUUCGAAUUGUGGCGUAAAGGGCGCGUAGGCGGUGCGGUAAGUCACCUGUGAAAUCUCCUGGCUCAACUGGGAGCUUGCAGGCGAAACUGCCGUGCUGGAGUGUGGGAGAGGUGAGUGGAAUUCCCGGUGUAGCGGUGAAAUGCGCAGAUAUCAGGAGGAACACCUAUUGCGAAGGCAGCUCGCUGGGACGUUACUGACGCUGAGACGCGAAAGCGUGGGGAGCAAACAGG